rnacentral:lncRNA from 1 species
UUGUCCCUGGAAAGAGCCUGGCAUGUGAGUUAGAAACUCUGCUCAUAAACCAGCUUCCUAGUCAAGGCUUUCACCUAGCCAAUGUGGCUGAUGGCAAGCAUAGGAAUUUUGGCACUUCCAACCUUCACACAGAAUGUGUUAUUGCUACUUCUUAAUAUAUGUUUACAAUCCCCAUUCAAUAGUUUUGUAAUAUGGAAAUGACAGUUAGAAAUAUUUUACAAUGCCAACCUUGUGAAAUUUAUAUUAUGUGAAUGAAACUCAGCAAGCAGUGGCUGCAGCGUUUUUGGUAGAUGUAAUUGCUGUAGCUGCAUUUAGUUGAACCCUGCUAGCAUGUGUAAUAUAUUUUUAUAAACCUUACUGUUUAGUGCAAAUUGUCUCUAUGCUAAUCUGGCAACAUGAAUUGGUCAAAUUGAUGUGUAUGUUUAUGAAACAAGAACUUGUAAACCAACAAAAAGAACAAGAUGACAUGUUCAAAUUUGAUGGGUUGAGUUAUUUUUUAGUUUAUAAUCACGUAGAUUAUAAUUUUAUAGUUUAUAAAGAUAAUCUAAAAAUAACCAUAUCAAAUACAUGUGUACUUUUGUUUUUCCUAUUUGCUCUUGUUAAACGGACUUCCUUUAAGUUACUUUCAUAAUUUCUAUCAAGCAUUUGCUUGUUUCAAAAUUAAUAAGGAUAAAAUUGUAAACGGAACGGUGUUUUAGAAAAGCAUUGGAUAAAUAAAUAUAACUACUAUCUUUGCUUGAUUUCGUUAGAAGUGCCUUCUAAUAAGGGUUAGUGGGAGUAAUAUUUUACCAGUUGAGUUAGAAAUACAAAAAAAUGGGUCACCCCAUAGGCCUAACACAAAUUUUGUGUUUAAGAUUGAGCUUUUAGAAGUAGUGUAGGCUCAAUAGAACUAUUAAAUUGAGUAAAUUAUCAUAACUAAUAAAUAAUUAAAUCGAAAGCUUUCUUUGAGGUAUUUAAAUGGUUCUAGACUUGAUUCCAAAUAUGAUAGAUCAUGGUAAGGGGGUGAUGGCAAUGUAAGCCUACCCAUGCGUGUGACUAGUUUGUUUUGAAUAAGAGGAUAAUCCAAAGUUGACUUGUUGACCAAGAAUAUUGUUCAUGAUCCUACAUGGCUAUAUUGCUAUAUCCUCCUUGAGUCAAAAAGUUGGCUUAAAUGGAGAAAAAGGUUCUGAAAAGGGAUAUUAGUCAAAGUAAAGUGAGAGUACUUUCAGUGCCAACUUAUUAGAAAAUUGGAAGACAAUGUUAAUCCUUUUAAUAAAUUAUUACCAUACUUUAAGUGAUAUCAUUAUUGUCCAAAUAAAACAAGCAUUAGCUGCAUUGGUCGGUAGUGCAAACCGGCCAACAUAUUGAAGAUCAUAUCAACAAAGACCAUUAAUUUGGUUAAUACUUAUCAUGUUGUAUGUCUUAAAGUUUUUGAAAUAGAUGUGUACGUGUGCCUAAAAAUUAUGUCAUUAAAAAUGAUGACCAAGUUUUACUCUCAGCCAUACCCACUUUAAGAAAUGUAUUUCAUGAAUUUGUAUGGAAACUUAUCUUUUGGACUUUAUUAAUAAUAGUGAUCUAGUAUGUGAUUCGAAGAGUACAUUGAAAAUAAUAAACCUAGGUACGUUAUGCAUUAUGGACACGACAAAUAAAGAAAGUCAUGGAGGAGAACUCUAGACUUAAGAAGCUAUAAUAAAGAAGACAAUAUUGUAUUCACAGUGUCUCAUUCUUUGUAUCAUUCAAUGUACUAUUAACCGUGAUUAGCUGAAAAAAUUAUUUAAAUUAAAAUUAUAAUUAUUAAAUAAUUUUUUGCCCAAUCAUACAUUCUAACACAUUAAGUGAUACAAAAUAAUAGAACAACAUGUGUUCCCUUCUAACACAUACCCUUAUUAUUUUGAGGUGAAGGAAGCUUAAUGAUGAGGAUGGAGAUGAAGAUAAUGGUUGAGUGUCUUUUGUAUUUAAUUUGGACGCAUGGAUGAUGAAGAUAGAGAUGAGAGGGGAGGAAGGGAAAGAAGAAUUACAUAUGAGAGAAGAUGAUUAUGGCGAUAAAUCUGGAAUUCUACAACCAUAAUGGAAUCUCUAGUGAGAAUAUGAUAUAUAGUAAUGAAAAUUUAACAUUGGCUAUAAGGGAAGAAUAAAACUGAAACACAUCACAAAGAAAGAAAAUUAAGUUUACCCUUUACUUUAAUGAUGCCACUUUAACAAAAAUGAGUAUCCUUUGAAAAUCAACCAAGCUCAAAACAAUCUUUGUAUGGUAUUUUCUCAACUUAUAGGUAAAGAACUAUUCAUUUUUGGAGUAUGUAGUUGUCCCUUCCAAUAAAUAUCGCUUCGAAAAAUGGAACCUGUCAUCUUUUGAUCAUCAUAUGAAUCUAGUAAAAUCUUAUACCACUAAAUCAACACAUUGUUGAUAGUAAUCUUACUAUUUAAACUAAAAUUAAAUAGUCUAUUGAGACGAAACCAUCCUAGCUAAAAAAUCUUCACACCUAUUACCUUCUCUGAGCACGUAAACAAUUUGAACCUGCUAAUCCCUACUAGGAAGAGAUUGAUAAUAUAAGAAUUUGGUGAAGAAUGAAUUAAUUAUGUAAAAAACUAAGUAUUAAACUUAUUUGAUUUGAUAUUCAAUUCAUAAUGGAGAAAAUAAUCCAAUAUAAGAAUUUUUACACUAUUACCACAUUAUUCAUCAUUAAUAUAUUCAUUCUUUGUCUAUUUUACAUUUAUUAUAUAUAUAUAUUGUAUAUAUAAAUGAGAUGUUUAUUUAUGAGUUAAGUGAGAAAUGGUAAUAAAUCAGUUUAAUAUCAUAUUUUGUAGUUUUUCUUAUUUGAUCAGAAAUUAUAUUAUUUUAAAUGUCAAAAUAUGUUGGCUAGUUUCAAAUAGUAUACUGAUAACUUUCCUUUUAUGUCAUGUUUUGUUAUAUAAAGGUGUGUUUUUCGGCAAUUGUUUUUUUGUAGACUUAUUUAUUGGGAGGUUUUGAUAAGUGCUUUAGUGACAUUGUUUAAGGAAGAGAACAUAAGGAAAUUAGUCUUAGAAAACUAAGAGUAAUAACAAAAUUUCAUAUAUUUAUAUAUAUAAGACACUUUGAGAUUCUCUCCUGUAUUGAAUAGUCCACUACUGAAAUAUGGGGUAUAGUUUGAUUUGAUGAUUUAAAAAAAAAAUUUAAAAAAAUUUAAAAUCUACACCAUAAUUUUUUUUAAUGCCACAUAUCAUCAUUUUCUCUAGUAUUAGACCCUCUGGUGUUAAAGAAGAUCGAAUUUCCUUUAUAAUAUGAGAAUAAUGUAUCUCCUCAUAUCUGGAGAUAACUUAUUUCCUAUAACCAGUAAAAAUGUGACAUGUGUGCUAUUUUAUUUGUAACUUGAUAUUAACCCCCAUUAUUUGGCCCCUUCAACGUAUACUAACAACAUGAUUUACAAUGAUCUAUGUAAUUGUCAAAAGGUUGUCCAAAGUGUUUAUUCUUCAAAAUAAUGAAAAAUUCUAUGUAACUCAUCAGAAAUGUUAUGCUAAUGUUGAAUAUUAUUCAUUUGAAAUGUGCACUAUAUUGAUUUCAGUGUCCCUUAUAUGAAACUGUGUCAUUUAAAUUGACUAAUUUCCCUCUCUGACUGCCAUGAACAUUUGAUACAGACGGAUGAUCUUGAAGGCCGAGUUCGUUCCCAUCGCUUAAAGGAAGGACUGCAGAAUGCAUCAUUCCUUUAUUUCCUUGUCCCUGGAAAGAGCCUGGCAUGUGAGUUAGAAACUCUGCUCAUAAACCAGCUUCCUAGUCAAGGCUUUCACCUAGCCAAUGUGGCUGAUGGCAAGCAUAGGAAUUUUGGCACUUCCAACCUUCACACAGAAUGUGUUAUUGCUACUUCUUAAUAUAUGUUUACAAUCCCCAUUCAAUAGUUUUGUAAUAUGGAAAUGACAGUUAGAAAUAUUUUACAAUGCCAACCUUGUGAAAUUUAUAUUAUGUGAAUGAAACUCAGCAAGCAGUGGCUGCAGCGUUUUUGGUAGAUGUAAUUGCUGUAGCUGCAUUUAGUUGAACCCUGCUAGCAUGUGUAAUAUAUUUUUAUAAACCUUACUGUUUAGUGCAAAUUGUCUCUAUGCUAAUCUGGCAACAUGAAUUGGUCAAAUUGAUGUGUAUGUUUAUGAAACAAGAACUUGUAAACCAACAAAAAGAACAAGAU